AAAUAUGUAAUAUACAUAUGUGAACUGAUUUAAAAAGUAUUGAAAUUAGAUCAUUGAAUAAAAUAAGAAAGAAAAAUGUCAAAAUAUAGACAAAAAGUAAAGAGAAAGCAACCAAUUUCAUCUUCCUCUCAAAGUACCCUAUAAACAGUCUGCUGCUACUGUCUCAUAGUCCUCCACCUACCUUUCGCCACCACACCUUUGCCGUUGUCGCCUCAUUUUUUUCCUUCACCACCGCAUUCAACAUCUUCCUCCAUUUAAAGAUUAAUUGCAAAAAGAGGGAUAAAAAGUAUAUUGCGUAUUCCUAAAUAAAACAAAUAAAGCUUGUGAUUCUUGAAAAUGGUUUGAAUUGUUGGUUAGGAAAGAGGGAGGAUAAAAGGGAGAAUUCAUGUUCGAAAGUGAGGAGUGGAAGUUUGGGUUUUAAAGCAAUUGUUUCGCAUCGAACGAGAAGACGAAUGAGAAAGCGCCAACACCCACUAGAAAAUUUUGGGUUACAAAUGUAUAGUAAUGGUGGAAGAAUAUGAACAGAAGAUGACAUACUUGUUUUUUCAUUGAGAGGAUGAUUUUGGUGCUUUAUAAUGGUGAAAAUAUAAGUUAUGUGGUAGAUAGUUAAGGAAGUAGUGCAAUGGAGAUAGAAAGAGAUGGAAAAAAGAUGCCAGGAAUACGGCUCUAGUGGUUAUCUGGUGCUUUCUCGUGGCUUCAGGUGGUUUUUAAAGUGAGAUAAACAAGAAUAGUAAGGAGCGGAGUGAGGAUCUAG
rnacentral:lncRNA from 1 species